GUGCGAUAACCUCGCUCGGUAGGAUUUUUCUAAGGCGGAAGCUAUGCCCGAUUUCGUAUCGGUGCGUGGCCGCUCGACUCUCUGUAGAGCCGUGGCGUUUCCUCGCACCGUAUUUUCUAAUUCAAAUCGGUAACCUCAAAAUUUAUUUUCCCUUCCAGACCUGUUGAGUCAGUUCCGUUUUCUUGUCGCGAGUGCAGUGUUCGUUCAAACCGCGUCAUGGUUUAACUUGUCUGCCUCGCCCGUGCCACGCCACGCCGUGCCGGGCAGGCUGUGUCCGUUACGUUCUAACUGCGUCAUGUCUGUACUUGUCGCCGGCCGACCAGCGUGUCCGUUUGUCCGGCGCGCGCUUCUCGGAAUCGCGCCACGCCACGCCGUGUUAUGGCUGGCUGUGUUGCGCCGCGCUGUAGAUUGAGUCCUGAUGUCUCGUUCAUGCUCGCCGUCAUGCUCCCCGUGUCCCCGCCUCGUUUGAGGCGUUUCCGCGAGCGUGGGAAACCUUUCCCGCCGGCGGCCGGGCGCAGUCAGCUGACUGCCGCGCCGACUCGCUCUCUCUCGCACCUCAGACUGGCUGACAGCUAGUCGCGCCCCCUCCCCUGCAGUGUACCGGCGCUGCGCAUUGCAGCGCCGCCGGGCCGGGCCGGGGGUUCGAAUCCCAGCCGUGUCUCGCGUCGCGCUCGGUAUAGUUAGUCUUCCUGGUGAUGUAAAGUUCGUCCGAGUGGGUGGGUGGAGUGACGCUGCCAUGUCUGCGUCUGUGUAAGUCGCCUGCCUUGCGCAGCCUAUUAGUGCUUGCUUCUGAAAUUCUCGCUAAAGCAUGUGUUUUGCUUUCUUGAAGUUUUUGAAGCUUUCCCUCUCAGUGUACGUCUCCACGUGUAUUCCACUUUUUUCUGUGCUAAAGAAAUGUGAAUACAGUUUGAAUCGUACACCGUGUUUUCGCACGCCAAUAUCUGCGGUUCCACAGUGAACGGCCGAUAAUGGCACGCGAUUUUCUUUAUGCUUUUGCCGUGAAACUAAUCGUUUCUUUACCCUUAAUGGUUUCAGUCCUCAUCUUGUGAAGAUGACAACCCCGUCCCCGUCGGCACCGGCCCCCCAGCAGGGGAUGAUGAUGCGGCCAGACAUGCUUGGGAACCUACACGCCCACCUUCGCAAGCCGAUGUUGCACCAGUUGCUGAGGAGGUGCCUGCACCACCAGCCGAGUGGCUGCCGCCCCUGCCCCCCGGCACCCCUCCACCGGCUGCCCCUCUCCCAGAGCUGCCCCUGCGCCCGGGCUUCCCGAGGGACGAGCCAGCUGAGGAUCCAGAGAAGGAGAACCAGUCAUGCCCUGCUCUAGAGUUUAUGGCCGAGUGGGUGGCGCAGUGCCAAAUGCCGCCUCCCCCGCCGCCACAACCUGCUGCUGCAGGGCCAGUGAUAGCACGGCGUGUCCCCCUCCAUCCGCUUCCGCCCUACAAGGAUGAUGGGGAACUCUUUCCAAAGCAAUCAUGCAAAUGAAAGUGUGCAAACCAUUGUUUCUGGUCUUGAAGAUGUGAAUGAAGGUGGAAGGAAAUUCAUUGAAUGUGUCUGAAAGGGUCAUGGAUGUUUCAUUUUCUGUUGAAAGUAUUGGUGUGAGUAACAGUGGUGGGACAGUGACAUCUUUGAAUGGUACUGGUAAUGUUGGAAAUUCAUGCAGUUGUUCUAAAGCUGGUUCGAUUUCGUAAGUUUUUUCUGUUUGAAAAAAACUGUUUGAGUGUGUCACAUGAAUGAUUAAAGGAAGUGUAACAUUUUGCUGU
rnacentral:lncRNA from 1 species